AGUGAACGCUGGCGGUAGGCCUAACACAUGCAAGUCGAACGGCAGCACAGUAAGAGCUUGCUCUUACGGGUGGCGAGUGGCGGACGGGUGAGGAAUACAUCGGAAUCUACUUUUUCGUGGGGGAUAGCGUAGGGAAACUUACGCUAAUACCGCAUACGACCUACGGGUGAAAGCAGGGGAUCUUCGGACCUUGCGCGAUUGAAUGAGCCGAUGUCGGAUUAGCUAGUUGGCGGGGUAAAGGCCCACCAAGGCGACGAUCCGUAGCUGGUCUGAGAGGAUGAUCAGCUACACUGGAACUGAGACACGGUCCAGACUCCUACGGGAGGCAGCAGUGGGGAAUAUUGGACAAUGGGCGCAAGCCUGAUCCAGCCAUACCGCGUGGGUGAAGAAGGCCUUCGGGUUGUAAAGCCCUUUUGUUGGGAAAGAAAAGCAGCAGGUUAAUACCCCGCUGUUCUGACGGUACCCAAAGAAUAAGCACCGGCUAACUUCGUG
rnacentral:rRNA from 1 species